UCGGGCUUUAUUCGUGCCCAUGAGACCCGCACCCUGCCUGGGAUGCACUUUUCAGAGAAACCGGGCCGUCUUUUCCUGGAGGUUUCGCGUUUUUCCAGAGCUCCACCACAGCAGAGAUUGAAUCUGCUUCCCCAGCCAGAGUGCACCCUCUCUGGCUUGGGUGAGUGCCUUGAGUGGCCAGGGCCAACAUCACCCACGGGCAUCGGGCUUUAUUCGUGCCCAUGAGACCCGCACCCUGCCUGGGAUGCACUUUUCAGAGAAAUCGGGCCGUCUUUUCCUGGAGGUUUCGCGUUUUUCCAGAGCUCCACCACAGCAGAGAUUGAAUCUGCUUCCCCAGCCAGAGUGCACCCUCUCUGGCUUGGGUGAGUGCCUUGAGUGGCCAGGGCCAAAA